rnacentral:rRNA from 1 species
UACGUAGGGACCAAGCGUUGUUCGGAUUUACUGGCGUAAAGGGCGCGUAGGCGGCUUGACAAGUCACUUGUGAAAUCUCCGGGCUUAACUCGGAACGGCCAAGUGAAACUGUCAUGCUAGAGUGCAGAAGGGGCAAUCGGAAUUCUUGGUGUAGCGGUGAAAUGCGUAGAUAUCAAGAGGAACACCUGAGGUGAAGACGGGUUGCUGGGCUGACACUGACGCUGAGGCGCGAAAGCCAGGGGAGCAAACGGG